UCCAGGGUAGCCUAGUGGACAUGGCAUCUGCCCAGUAAGCGGAACACUGGGUUGAUUUCCAUCCCUGGAC